rnacentral:rRNA from 1 species
UUGACCUCGGAUCAGGUACGG